GGCGGCAUAGCUCAGGUGGUAGAGCAGGCGGCUCAUACCCGCCAUGUCCGAGGUUCGAGUCCUCGUGCCGCUACCA
rnacentral:tRNA from 2 species